UACGGGGGGAGCAAGCGUUGUUCGGAUUUACUGGGCGUAAAGCGCACGUAGGCGGAUAUUUAAGUCAGGGGUGAAAUCCCGGGGCUCAACCCCGGAACUGCCUUUGAUACUGGGUAUCUCGAGUCCGAGAGAGGUGAGUGGAAUUCCGAGUGUAGAGGUGAAAUUCGUAGAUAUUCGGAGGAACACCAGUGGCGAAGGCGGCUCACUGGCUCGGUACUGACGCUGAGGCGCGAAAGCGUGGGGAGCAAACAGG
rnacentral:rRNA from 1 species